UUUCUUGGUAUCUACCUUGCUAACAAAACCUACCCUACAUAACCACGAGCCAACACACAAUGUGUUUCCCUUUGUAUUUUGUUUUCAAAUAAAACAUCUAGAGACAGCACAGGCCAGUUCCCGGAGAAUGUAAAGUUGAAGACUGCUGGCCAAAUAAAAACUUUUCUGAUCUCUCAUAAAAUCUUUGUAAAUGUGACAAUCAAGCCCUCAAGAAAAUUCACCUGGCAACAGCUGCAUUGAAACAAAGUUACUGCAGCAACAAGUAACGUCACAGUGUUAAUAAUUGACAUGGAAAGAAUGAAAAGGUGAGGAAGGGAUAAAGAGGACAAAGGAGAGAUUUCAGUAUAAACUUCUGCUGUAUAUUUGAAACCUACACCUGUUGCAGUUGUUAGACCACAGGAAGAAACACUUCUAAGGAACAAAGAUUAAAUCAAGACUAUUGAUCAGAAAAUUUUCCUACACUGACAUGAAUUUUAGGAAUUCAAUUUUAUGAACACUUUUUAAAGGAGGAAACAAAACCUGACCUAUAUGGAGUGAUCCACAAUGAAAAACAAAUGUAAUUAUGAAACAGAUGUAUUUUUAUAAACAAGAAUGGAAUACAUAUUGUCUGAAGUAGAAGGCAGAAGAUGGAUUGCAUCAAUUUAAAAAAUGCUAGAAAAAACGAUUGAGGAUUUCUUAAGAAAACCAAGAAAAUCUGUAAAAAAUGAACAAUUUUAAAAGGUAAUAAUCAAUAAAUUUGGAGCAGUAAUAUAAAAUAUGCUUCUCAUCCGAUGAAUAUCUUAAAUACUGACCCACAAAUUAUUUUCAAAUUUCGAGUAAGCACUGAAAUAAUGUGAUAUUUUAGUUUGUCUUUAUGUCAUAAAUUAACAUUGCAGAAGGUUAAUACACAUCAAACACUAGGAUUUUAUGAAGCAAAACUCUAUAUAGGAAAAAAUUGUAAGACAACCUUUUUUUUUUUGGGAGAGUAGCAAAGAGAGGGCUGUGCAUAGUUUUUUUAUUCUUUUUUCAUUGUUUGCUUUUAAAGUAGAGUACUGGUAAACAUAUUUCCAAAUAUUGGAAUGAAAUAUCACUUUGCAACAAAAAAUACUUAUUUUUAUUAUUAUUUACCAGUAUUAUUGUUUACCACAAACCAACAUUAAGCUUAUUUUAUUCUUACUAGACAAUAAGAUAGCAAAGAUAAAAAUGUAGCUUAAUAGAUUAAGAAAAAAUACAGGCACUAUCUGAUAGACCACAAAAAUCUAGAAAAGUUCAAAAUGCUUUCAGGCACAAAAAUGCUGUUAAUGAUUAGCUGCAUAACAAGAGAUUUAUCUCUGUCUUUUUUUCCUUUCUUUUGUGUGUGUGUGUGUUGCAAAGGCAACACAGACACACUGCAGGUCUGUCUGUGCCAUUCCUAGGCCACUUUCAGGCCGAUUGAGAAAAGCUGGAAAGUAAACACAGGUGUUUUAAAACUGGAGCGCUGUCAUGGACAACCACAAACACCCUUAACUCUGAUGUGGCAACGCCUCUUUCCCGCCCUCUCUUUUUUAAAGCAUUAUCCAAAAAGAACAUGUCAAAUGUUUCACCUUUCACCACCUCAAAAUAACUUGGAGCUUAUAGUGUUGUUUGGCAAGUGUCAAGCAAAGAGAUCAUUUUUUCAUUCCUUUUCAGAUAUAGCCAACUCCAAAUCAGUCACAUAAAAUAAAGAGCCAUUCUAUUUCUAAUUAGUUUAUUUUCAGUGUCCACUGAUUUACCUGCAAGCACUAUGUUUUAAGUUGAACAUUUCCUUCCUCAAAUGUAAUUCAGGUUCCUAGUUUUCAUGAUUGAGGUUCAACUAAAAAGACAGUGAGGGAAUUUUGCAAUAACGAAACAAGAUUUAAUUCCGUGAAUAAAAGAAUAAAUAAAAAAACUUAACAACAACAAAAAAGUGUCAUAAAUCCCCCAAAUCAAAAGAAUAAACCUUGGGCUUUUUGAUUAUUGUGCAAGAAUACAUACAAAACUGAAAAAGUACUUGCUUGUAAAUUAGCUGUUCCAGAAAAAAGCAUAUCGUGCUAACUGCCAUGAAGUACUGACUAGCUAGAGAAAAAGUAUGGAAAGUAAAAACAGAACAAGUCCCCAGAAAUUAUGCAGCCCCUACUCACUUAUGCAGUUGGGGAGUGUGAGGGAGAAAAAAGUAAUAUAUUAACAAAAAUGAAGCAAAUACUGACAGUUGCAAUUUAAUUCUGAAAAAACUGUUAGACAACACAGAGAUGAUUACGCUUGGGAUGAAACUAACAACCUUAGCAAUACUCCUUGCCCCAAAAUGCAGACCUGGUUCAUAAUCUAAAUAUCAAAAUCCAGCUUCAGCAAAAAUCCUGAAAUCUUAUACUUAAAGCAGCACAACGCUCAGAGCUAUACCAACAGCAAAUUUAUUGCAAAUUAAUGACAUUGCUGAAAAGUUAACAUACGCCAAAAUCAGGUCUUACUUAUUGUAAAGGAUGACUUUUCUUUCCAGCCUCAGCCUUCAGAUUCCAGAAUGAUUUUCUUUUUGACGUAGAUGCUUACACACACCCCGGUUUCAAAAACCAGACACCAGACUUACUGUGUGUUCUGCGCUCCAACUUAAACAAACACAAACGACUUCAUAAGACAGACAGCGCUCACGCAUACAUUUAUUUAUGUUAGGACACAAGUGAGAUUUUUCUUUUUUCCAGAUUUUGUCCACUGUGGUAAAGAGAUGGUGUAAUUUAUUAAAGGAUCUGUCUGAACAGCUUGUCUCAUCCCCUCUUAACUUCACCAGGCAUUCAAAAGAGUUCACAAUCUUAUUAAACAGGCCUCAAAAGGUGACAUGCAAAAUUGAACUUUGUACUAAAACUCAGUUAUGAUUAUUUCCUUUAAAAAAAUUUAUCUAAUUUUUGAGCAACAUUAUGAGCUACUUUGUGUACUAUUUUAUUAAAUCUAAGCAAUAAUACAUUUAAAGCUUGGUCAAGAAAACUCAACCAUAGCAAAUAUAAAGCAUCAAACAUCUGCCAGCUGCCAGUAUCACUCACAGUGCUGUGCACUAUCUAACAAAUACUUAGAAGAAAUCACACACACAAACACACUUAUUAAACUACACUAUUUAGCUUCAUUUUUUGCUAUUUCUGCAUUAAGCACACAUGACAUGAAAAUAAUAUACCAUUGAGACUAUUAUACAUAAUAGAUAAAUUAAACCAAACAACAUUGUGUAUAAAUUAUCUUGUUCUUUGGCUUGCUUUAGAAAUACCUUCCUCCUAAAAGAGGAGGGAUUUAUGCUUGGCAAAGCAACAUAGUUUAAUGUGAUCCAUUAAAAAAAAAAAGUGCACUAGUACAAUAAUGGAGAAAACCAUUGAACAUUCUCGUAGCAACAACACAGAGACAGCCAAAAAGGGAGAAAAAAGCUUGGUGAAAUAACCCUUUUUAAGUGCAAAAAUUUCACCCUGUAAAAAGAUGCAGCAAUAAUGGUGUUGUUUACCUGCAGAUCUGUGAAGUCUCAGAAAUAUGUUUUAAGCAAACAAACUGAUUUGGGGGAACUUUAUCAAACCACUAACUAACUACCAUGAAGCAACAACGACAGAUUUAUCCCUGAGCACUAUGGUGACCCCCUGGCCAAAAGCUAAUUUCUCAUUCCUCCAGUCUUUUGUAUUCAAAGUUAUUAGUCUGUCACAAAACAAGCUGAUUUUUAAAGCAAGAAACUUGUAUCCCCAUUUUGAGACAGGAUAGUGUUUUCAUCUAUAUCUACUUCACAAGGUGUUGUGUACACUUAGCUUUGGGCAGUUAUUUGAUGCAGCCCUGGAAAGCAGCUUCUUUUUUUGUGUGUGUGUCUUAAAGAACAAGGAGGGAAUAUACUGUAAAACUACAAAAAAUACUAGUAAGCUGUAACUGUGACAAGUGAGUUCUACUUAAUGAAACAAACUGGGAAGCUGAUUUUGUCCUUUAAGACAUGGGGGAAAGAAACCUCAUGAGAAACUGAUAAAAUACUGAUUCCUGAUGAUCUGAUUUUACUCAGAGGAAUAAUAGGUACCUUCCUGUGUGAGGCUUACUGGAUUAGGCCCCAACUUAUAAAAACGUUGUUUCUGGACUCAGACCUGCUAUUCUAUGCUUCAGGACAGAAUGAAGCUUUCAGAGCUUUAAGUUCUAAAGAUAGGGGUCAGAAAGGAAACAAUAUAAGAGCAUGAAAUAAAUUUGUUGGUGCUACAUCAACUCUGCCUGGUAAUUUUUCUCUAAUUACCAAAGAAAAGAAAUAUGAUGUCUGAUGUCACUUUCUUUAAACAUAAACAUAUCUCAGCAAGACUGUGAGUCUUUUUCUCC